rnacentral:rRNA from 1 species
AUGGUGCAGUACGCGCAGGACGGGGACAACGUGCUGCGGGUGGUGCUCUCGGCGAUGUACAACUCCGGGUGGGUGGGGAUGGCGUUCUCCAAGGACGGCCUGAUGGUGGGCUCGAGCGCCAUGGUGGGGUGGGUCGGCACUCGACAAGAAGGGGCAAGCCCACGUCAAGUAGUUUGCCCUCAACGACAAGGCGCCCUCCAUGGUCAUCGCCGACAGGGGCUUCCUCGUCUUCAAGGGCCACGCCCACACGUACUGGACGGCGGCCGCGUCGCGCAUGCUAGCUAG